rnacentral:lncRNA from 1 species
GGCAACCCUAGCAAACUAAUACAUGAUCCUUCAAGGCAGAGGUGAAAAUCUGCCUCCUUUCUCAAACUGCCUUUGAUCAGCCUGCUCCCAGAGCAGCCAUUGUCUCAGAAUACCUAGUGGCCAAGAGUUUAACCCAAGGAUCACAAACUCAAAUGCCUAUAGGGGCCAGGAAGAACUAACAUGAGUGAAGUGCUUGACUAUAAGAAACUGUAUUUGCCAAUUGAUAUGGUUUGGAUCCGUGUCCCUACCCAAACCUCAUGUUCAAUUGUAAUCCCCAGAGUUGGAGGUGGGGCCUGGUGGGAGGUGAUUGGAUUAUAGGGGUGGAUCCUUCACGAAGGGUUUAGUACCAACCCUUGGGUGCUGUUCUCGUGAUAGAGUUCUCAUGAGAAUUGGUUAUUCUCAACAGGUUAUUUACUGGUUGUGUAACCAGUUACAUGAGAACUGGCUAGCACUUACCCACCUCUCUCUCUUGCUCCUUCUCCCACCAUGAGAUGCCUCACUCCGCCCCCUUCAUCUUCUGCCAUGAUUGUAAGUUCCCUGAGGCCUCCCAGGAGCUGAUGCCGUCAUGCUUCCUGUACAGCCUGCAGA